rnacentral:rRNA from 1 species
CCUACGGGAGGCAGCAGUGGGGAAUAUUGGACAAUGGGGGGAACCCUGAUCCAGCCAUGCCGCGUGUGUGAAGAAGGCCCUCGGGUUGUAAAGCACUUUCAGUGAGGAAGAACGCCUGGUGGUUAAUACCCAUCAGGAAAGACAUCACUCACAGAAGAAGCACCGGCUAACUCCGUGCCAGCAGCCGCGGUAAUACGGAGGGUGCGAGCGUUAAUCGGAAUUACUGGGCGUAAAGCGCGCGUAGGUGGCUUGAUAAGCCGGUUGUGAAAGCCCCGGGCUCAACCUGGGAACGGCAUCCGGAACUGUCAAGCUAGAGUGCAGGAGAGGGAGGUAGAAUUCCCGGUGUAGCGGUGAAAUGCGUAGAGAUCGGGAGGAAUACCAGUGGCGAAGGCGGCCUUCUGGACUGACACUGACACUGAGGUGCGAAAGCGUGGGUAGCAAACAGGAUUAGAUACCCCGGUAGUC